CCUCUUCAUUUUUAAUCUCUCUCAUCCUCAUUCCAAAAUCUAGCCACCCUAGUUUCCUUCAAACCCUUGUGAUUGGCGGCCACACACCAAAUCCCUCCAAAAUCUUCACUCUACAACCCCCGGAUCUCCCAUAUAUCUAAUAUCCCAUCAAUUUUUCCGAAAUCCUUGCCAAAUCCCUCGAUUUUCAAAUCUGAAAAUUGUUUGAGCCCUAGCCGUUCUUUGUUGAGAUUUUUUUGGUCUUUUGAGUUUUAAAUUGUCAUCAGUCGAUUGCUUUGAUAAGAGCAAUUGACUGAUGUUAAUCUUAACUCAUUGCAUGAUCAUCCAAAUGAGGUCAAAAUGUCGCUCAAUCGUCAGUAAUUUUGUUUGAAUUUCUUCCAAGAAGGUACCCUCUAUUUUUAUUUUAUUUUAUGGUCAAUUGCAUAUCUAGGUAUUCAUUUUGUUACUUCAUAUUUUUUUGUUGGGUUUUGCAUGAUUUAAAGUUCUGUUUGCCCAUUCCCGUGCAUUACUUUUAUUUUAGUUAAUUGGAUUAUUAGUAUGUUUGAAUACUGAGUUGAUCCCUCUAUAGUCUUUAAGAAUUUUAGUUUUCGUUUUAAUGAUUUCAUUGAUGUCUUACAUUUUAGGUUAAGGGUUAAUCCAAUAAUCUGUUUUAUGAUAAGUGUAUGUGAUUUUGGGCUUUGUUUUGAAAUUAAAAAGAAAAGAAGGAUGGAGUUAAAAAUAAGGGGUGUAGAAAUAUAAUUGGCAGAAAUACUAGAAGGGUUAAAAGAAAUAGGAAUUUUAGGGAAUCAUUCUGUUAGUUUGGCUGGGAUGUUCUAGAACCUAGUGGUAGGGACAAAAAACAUUAAAAUAAGUUAAUUAGGUCACAGUUUGGAGGGUAGAAAGGGAUAAAAUUAGAAGAAGAAGGGUCGUAAGCAAGAAGAGAAUGUUUGAAUAAACACAACAGUCAAAAAUUGGUUAGCAAAGAUGCCAAUUCCCUGAUUUUUAGGGAGCUGGCAGAAUAUUCUCACACUCCUCUCUCAUUUUUUUUUGCACAAAAGCACGCUCCUACACUCUAUAUAAGAGACCUCACACUCCUUCAUACACAUACGUCAAUACUCUGAAUAUUCACUCACUCGCAAUAACACUUAAAAAGCUAAGAAUUUGGAAAAAAAUUAUUUUGAAGAAAUUUUAAAAAAAAAAAAGAAUAAGAGGUUCUCCAGCUUUUUGAGUCCCUGUUAAAAUAUUUGUGUGCACAUUGGAAGCUUGUUCUUUUCUGGCACUUUUGGUUGUGUUUUUUUCUUGCUCCAUAGCUAAUUUUUCUUUUUGGAGUUCCUAACUUCAUUAGGUACUAAUCCUUUCUCUAUAUUCAUCUUUUUCCAGGUAUUUUGCCAAUACCUUAUGAACUUAUGAAAUGAAUGAAGUUUUCAUGAUGGUAUGAUUGCUAGUAGUAAGUUGAGUUGCACUUUUUUUUUAAUGAAUUUCCCUUAUAAUGGGUUUGUAAUGUUUUAAGGCUUGAGACCUUUGCUGAUCUUUAUCCCCAUGAGCAUCCCUGAUUCAUUAUUUCUUUUUGUGCAAAUUAUUUUAGAUGAAAAUGAUCUAAAUCUAGCCUGCAUGUGGUGAUUUCCUUAUGUUUAAGUCAAAAAAAAGAGGAAAUUUAUCUAUUAGUUAUGGCUAAGUUGACAUGUAUUUUAUCUAAUGUGUAUUUAGUCCUUAGAGGAUCAGUAUCCUCAUUUUAUUGCUUUUCUUAUUGUAGAUUGCAAGGUUUUAUGCCACUUAUGAAGAAAUUGGGUUGAGUUUGUCUAGUAUAGAUUUCUUUAAUUUGAAGGUUAAGCCUUUAUUUGUAAUAUAAAACUUAAUGGAAUCUGUGAAAUUUUUAUCUAAUUAGUGAUAAUGUGAUAUUCAUGUUUAACUAAGUCUAGUUUCAAGUUAUGUAGGAAUUUAUGCAAUUUUGCUCUUAUAAAAUUUUUACGGAAAACUUUGAUGAAAUUGCAAAUGAAACGUUGAAAGGUCCUGUCCAUGAUGGAGGCCAGGACCAUGCGUUCUGGCUAGACUUUAAAAGAAGUUAGCAACGGAAUGUAACGACCCGACUAGUUGUUUUACAUUUUAGAACCCCGUCCCCCUAAAUAAAAAUUUCAGCGCUUGCUUUAACUAAUUUAC
rnacentral:lncRNA from 1 species